rnacentral:rRNA from 1 species
AUUGAACGCUGGCGGCAUGCUUUACACAUGCAAGUCGAACGGUAACAGGCCGCAAGGUGCUGACGAGUGGCGAACGGGUGAGUAAUGCAUCGGAACGUGCCCAGUCGUGGGAGAUAACGCAGCGAAAGCUGCGCUAAUACCGCAUACGAUGUAUGGAUGAAAGCGGGGGACCGUAAGGCCUCGCGCGAUUGGAGCGGCCGAUGUCAGAUUAGGUAGUUGGUGGGGUAAAGGCCUACCAAGCCGACGAUCUGUAGCUGGUCUGAGAGGACGACCAGCCACACUGGGACUGAGACACGGCCCAGACUCCUACGGGAGGCAGCAGUGGGGAAUUUUGGACAAUGGGCGCAAGCCUGAUCCAGCAAUGCCGCGUGCAGGAAGAAGGCCUUCGGGUUGUAAACUGCUUUUGUACGGAACGAAACGGUCUGGGUUAAUACCCUGGGCUAAUGACGGUACCGUAAGAAUAAGCACCGGCUAACUACGUGCCAGCCGCCGCCGUAAAAC